rnacentral:rRNA from 1 species
CUUGGUCAUUUAGAGGAAGUAAAAGUCGUAACAAGGUUUCCGUAGGUGAACCUGCGGAAGGAUCAUUACAAGUGAGGCUACCGAACGUUGGAAACAGCGGUUAGGAGCUUACACCCACCCGUGUUUACAUACUAUUGUUGCUUUGGCGGGCCGUGGCCUCCACUGCGGGCUCUGCUCGUGUGUGCCCGCCAGAGAACCAAACUCUGAAUGUUAGUGAUGUCUGAGUACUAUCUAAUAGUUAAAACUUUCAACAACGGAUCUCUUGGAUCUGGCAUCGAUGAAGAACGCAGCGAAAUGCGAUAAGUAAUGUGAAUUGCAGAAUUCAGUGAAUCAUCGAAUCUUUGAACGCACAUUGCGCCCUGUGGUAUUCCGCAGGGCAUGCCUGUUCGAGCGUCAUUUAACCACUCACGCCUAGCGUGGUAUUGGGGCACGCGGUCUCCGCGGCCCUCAAAAUUAGUGGCGGCGCCGGUGGGCUCUAAGCGUAGUACAUACUCCCGCUAUAGAGUUCCCCCCGGUGGCUCGCCAGAACCCCCAAUUUUUUACAGGUUGACCUCGGAUCAGGUAGGGAUACCCGCUGAACUUAAGCAUAUCAAUAAGCGGAGGA